CAUUCUCAAAAACCAUCUUGGUUUCUUGACCAGGAAGGCUUUUGGACUUUGGAGGCUUUUUGCUGGCUUUCCUUUGUUGGAGCCAGCUCCUCUGAAAUGGAUUAGUAGGGUCUGCUUUGCCGAUCCUUGACGUGAUAAGAUGUUUUCUACGUCUCGGGUUCUGCACUCCUGCUUCUAACUGUCUCACAGAAGACAAAACGGUCAAAGUGAUUGCCACUUUGACCCACGAA
rnacentral:misc_RNA from 1 species